GCACUUUAUUUGCCAUAGACAACUUAUGCAUUUUUCUGCAUUUAUUUUUUCCUACUACCGCUUGAUUUUGUUUCCGUUUAUGUCAAAAGUGUCAAAACAGUUUCAAAAUAUUGUAAAUUUAUUGCAAAUAAUCUCAGACAUUUAGUUGAAGUGUUAUUUGUUCUUUGUUAUAUAACGGAGAAACGGAGGGUGGAAUUUUUUGUAUAAUAAUUGUAUAUAGAUUAUAGAUUUGUCUGGUCAAUUAGUUUGCCCCGAACACCGCUAUGGGCAGAACCACAAAGCGGCGUACAAAAAACAUACGUAAACGACGUAAAGUAGGUACAAGCUGCCUUACAAUAUCACUAUCACCAUAGCACCAAAUCGAAAAACCUGGCUUGGCGAAAUGUUUUGUAUUACUGCUGAAACGUCAAACGGUUCAACGAAUGCAGACUGAUCAUCAAGCACAAACGUCGGUGUCAGAUGUCCAUAACGGACGUGUACUCCCAAAGGACACGAGGCAGCAUACAAAUCAAUAAAAAUAAUUUGUAUAUAAAUGCAGUAAAUAUAAUAUUGAUGUUUUUAAGUAUACUACAAACCAUGUAGGUAUGUUCGUCUUCAGUAAAGAUGGUGCUUUUUUUACGCACUAGUGCGAGAAGUUAUUCAUUAUUUAUAUGGCAGGUUGAAACUCCGGAGGUCCAUCUGUACUG